GGUAGCAAGACGCUACGGAGGAGGAGGUGCAUGUGGCGCAGGAGGAGGAGGAGGAGGUGCAGGAGGAGGACGAGGCGCAGCAGACCACCUCUGGUUCUGGUGCCUCUGGUUUGUCGAGCGUCUACUUGCAAGGUCCCGCCAGUCUCCCUAAGCGACCGAUACCUCGUGAGAGGCGCCCGUUGAUUCGACCCGAAGGGGAAAAGUCCUGGACGAUUGUGCAGAGUGCAGGUGCUGCUCACAAACGCUCCGUCAAUGGCAUCCUCGGUCUUCUGUGCAGGGAA